rnacentral:lncRNA from 1 species
UAAAGUAUAAGUACCUUGCUUGAACCCCUGAGAUUAGUGAUUUUUUAGUUUUAAUUGGAACUGUCUGUUGUUGAAAUUUUUAAGUUUGCACUGCAUGAUUUCUUCUAAGAAAUUGAUUAUGUAUUGAAUUUGAGUCCGUAUCAGUUAUCAUAGAUGUUGAUUACACACACACACACACUAUAUCAGUGAUGAUUGCUUGAGAUUUGAGGAUUGAAA